UUAAAGCAUCACCUGGAAUCAACUGGGCCAUCACCACCAAUUAUGCUCGUCUGGAAAUAUCAAGGCUUAAAGGCUGGCUUUGGCCACCAAAGAGAGGAAACAUUCGGCAAUCCCUGAAAAUGCACAGUUGAGGAGGGGAGGCGGGGAGAGCUGUUUGAGCCUUGUACUACAAAGUCAAAAGGGAAAACAUGUGUUUCCCAUUUGUCUUGGGAUGGGAAAGAAAAACUUUUCCUUUCGCUUAAUCUUGUUUUAAACAAACAGAGAGACUGCCCUUUUUGUAAACCCGCCGAACGUCAAAUAUUGGUCAGUAACGUGGCAUCAGCUUACUAAGCCACUACGAGGCCACUCUCCUCACGUAAUCCCGUCAAUUAAAAGGUACAUUGUCUUGAAGAGAGACGACUCCAAUCAUACACAUUUCCUCUGAUGAUUGUACAAGAGUCAACCGUUGGAGUCCCAUUUCAAAAUCUAUAACCCCUGGUUUCAGCCAGAGGCCCCAGGCGAUGGGCUUCCACUCAUGACUCAGGAGUUUGUGAGUGAAAGCAAGCACGUCAAGUGAUGUAAGAAAAUUCCCCGGCUCCCCAUCCCCGGGGAAUUCGUGGUAGGGGGGUGUCCUGGGUGCUGAGUCGCCCGCCUACCACCAUGGCAGGCAGCGUCAGCGCCUGACAAAGGAAGUAUUCAGUUACAAUGACUUUCCUGUUGGCCCGUGUGCUCAGAUAAUUGCUUCUCAAUGUGUGUGAGAACCUCCUAAAGUAAACCAAGGAACUGAGGGGCCAGAUCUGGGCUGAAGGGAAAUGGGGGGGGGGGGGGGAAGGAGGGUAGUAAGUGAUGCAAGUCUUCCUUUGAAGUCACUUUGUUUGUGAAAAGUCUGCUGUCCUCUCAGAAGGAAACUCCAAUGGAAUGAGAUUUCUGUGCUUGUGGGGUUGAGGGCUAUUGUUUUUGGCCCCAGUGUUCACCUCAAGCCCUAGCUAGGACAUGCACAAAUCCGCUAACAACAGCCUGACAAGAAAUUGCUCACCUCUCCUUGCAUCAGGGGACUUUUACUCAGGCUGCUUCUGAAUGCCUCAUUGUCUAAUAGGGCAGGAAGUUUGCUCUCAAUGUAAAUGAGGACUCUUUCACCUCUUUUUACCUCCUUGGAAGAUUUCUACAGCGGCUGCCUGCCCGUCCCCAGUCUGGCUCGCUGAAGGUUGCCUCAGAGCUCGUUCAUGUUCUUCCGUGUUCUGUGAGAGCAGAAGGGCAGCUGCAUCCCAGCCAUGGGUUGCGCAGCUUCCUUCUCAGAGGGAACUUUUCCUCAGACUUUUCCCUGGAGAUGACACUGGGUGAUGGGCUAACAGCUGCCCAGGGACAGGGAAGACUUGAAUUUUCUGGAGAGGGCUGGAUUUUCUCUUUUCAGUCUCUUUAUUCUGAUCUGGACCUGAGUUUAUUUAUUACACGCACACACACACACACACACACACACACACACACACACAGAAGAUCCAUCCCCAAACCUUAUAAUGUUCUUUUCUUAGGAUACAUCACAUGGUGACCAGCUUGUACUUGGAGCAUCAAGCUAGGACUUGAAGUAAAAAUGUGUCAGACUAACCAGCAUCAGCAAGAAGAGGCCUGAUUCAGAACCAUGACCUCCUUCCAUCUGAGCAGAUCCCUGAGGAGCCUAAGAACACCUAGAAAAAGACUUGUGGACUCUCCUUUCCUCCCCAAUCUCACUCCACUCUUGCUUGACAAUGGGAGCAGUGGUGGUUCAGUGGUAGAGUUCUCACUUUCCAUUUGGGAGACCUGGGUUCAAUUCUCAGCCAAUGUACCUCAAACACAGCCACCACCCAUCUAUCAGUGGAGGCUUGUGUGUUGCUAUGAAGUUGAAUAGGCUUCGGUGGAGAUUCCAGACUAAGACACACUAGGAAAAAAGGCCUAGCAAUCUACUUCUAAAAACCAGCCAGUGAAAACCCUAGUUGCCCAACUUGAAGAACAUAACCAAUGGCACUAAAUUGUAAGUGUAGAAACUGUUGAAUUGGUAUAUGUUUUGCUGAGUAUAUUCUCAAUAACAACAACAACAACAAAAAAAAAAAAAUAGAAAAGAAAAUCUUAUGGAUCAAAAUGGCCUGAUCCCAUUGAACAUGGGGCCAACAUGAGUGGGGGGCCAACUCUAGGCAGCUAACAACUCUCUUGACAAAGCUCCAACAGACACAAGAAGGACCCUUGCAACUUGCUGUGAUGCCCUCAGUUGAAAGACUGGGUGAAGAGACCCUCAAAGGGAGAAACAGUUCACAGAUAUAACAGCUUAAUUAGAGGAGCAGGAUGAAGAUGAUGAAGAGAGUCCCUGGAUGAUGCACGCAAUUAACGUGCUUGGCCACUGACUGAAACGUUGGAGAUUCCAGUCCACCCCGAGCCAUCUCAGAAAAAAGGCCUGGAGAGCUACUUAGAAAAAUCAGCCACUGAAAACUUUAUGGAGCACAGAUCUACUCUGACACACACGGGGUCACCAUGAGUCAGAAUCAAUUUGGCGGCAACUGGAAAUAUGCAUGUGCAUACACGCAUGUAUAUGUAUGUACGUACAUGUGUGCACAUGUAUAUAGUGUGUAUAUAUGUGUGUUUUCGUUUGUGCCAGGUCAGGUACGAUUAACCAAGGAGUAUCGCCCUCACUCCUGGUGAGAGAGUCUCAAACCUGAUUUCGCAUUAGAAUCACCUGGAGAGCUUCAUCAACAGCACGUGACCCCUGGUGUGUCCUCCGGUUAGGGCUGGGCUGGGCCGGGCCUUGGGCACAGGUAUCUUUGAAGCUCCUCAGGUGAUUUUACUGGGCAGCAUCCAGUGAACUAGGCCAGGCCUCUAACACAGUCUCCCUAACACAGUCCGCAAGAUUGAGCCAUACUUCCUAACUCCUCAUACAACAUCCCCCUUCCUUGGGCCCUUGUACUUCUCUUCUCUCCCUGUUCUCAACCCCUGGCUGCUGGCCUCAGCCCCUGCUGAGUUUGGGGUCUUUCCUUCCUUGGUUUCCUGCCUUUUGACUCUGGAAUCUCCCACUGUCUCAAGUGAGGCCUUUUGCUCAAGCACUGGCCUCUGUGGAUACCCCCUCCUUGGCCCAUUAAGUCAAUGAGAAGAAAGGAUUCAAAAGACAAAAUAAGAGAGAACAACUUGAGCAGGGCGAGGCUUUGCCAUAGUCGAGAGAAGCCAACCAGUCUUUCAGCUGUCCACAGAGCUACACAUGGGUAAUCGAGAAUAUUCUUCCCAUUUCACAUAUCAGGGGAACUGAGACCACAUCCCCAGGAAUUAGAGUUUCAUGUCUGCAUCUGAGACUCCCACCACUAUCUGUCAGUCUAUUGUACCGUGGUGGCUUACAUAUUGCUGUGGUGCUGGAAGCCAUGCCACCAGUAUUUCGAAUACCAGCAGGGUCACCAAUGGUGGCCAGGUUUCAGUGGAGCUUCCAGCCUAAGACAGACAAGGAAGAAAGACCUGGCAAUCUACUUCUGAAAAUUAGCCAACGAAAACCUUAUGGAUUACAACAGAAUAUUGUCAGACUUACUUGCUUUGGACAUGUCAUCAGAGGGAUCAAUCACUGGAGGAAGACAUAAUGUUUGGUGAAGUACAAAAACUGGGAGACACCUGGUGAGAUGGAUUGGCACAAUAGCUGCAACGAUGGACUUGAACAUGCCAGGAAUUGUGAGGAUAAUGCAGGACUGGGCAAUUAUUCUUUCUGUUGUUCAUAAGGUGGCCAUGAGUCAGAGUCUGUCUACCUACCUACCCACUAUCUAUCUAUCUAUCAAAACCCCUGAGCCCUAGGGCCCCUGUAAAUGCUACAACUUGGUUGCCUCUGAAAGCAGAGCCUAGAAGUCUGGAAUGGGUUUAAAAAUCCUCCAAUCUGUGAAUAUUACUAUAGCAAAAAAAGUUUUCCCUAAAAUGGCCAAAAGUAUAAUUUAACAUUUUAAGUCACUCCUUUGUAUUUAAUAGAAAUGACCUGUGUUUGUAACACGUAUGGUCCUUCUUAUACAAUGAAGUGGGAAACCCCAUGCCGCUUGGCUGGGCCAUUCCUCAGUGAGUCUGCAUCCCGGCUUCACAAGGGCUUGGUCCAAAUCCAUCCUGAGCAAAGGUACUACGUGCGGAAAUCUUCAGGGCCUGGGGCCUCACACAGAGCUUGGCAUUGAUGCUCAGCAAACUUCUAAAGGAGCAGAAUAUCAGGUCUAUAGCUUCAGGGUGCAUCCCCAACCUAAUCUGAUUCUGGAAAUUCAAACGACUGAAUUCAGAAAAAGGUGGCCUGAUGACUACAAAACCCCUCUCAGAGAACACAGCAGUGGCAGAAAGAACCAAGGAGAUGCAGAGAUUGGCAGAUGUACAGUGUCCCCUGGGAACAGCUUCAGUGUCACCACAGAAAUAGGGUCCAGGGCCUUCCUUUCCACAGAGAAAGCCACAUGGUUGAUGAGGUUAUAAACCAGGAACCCUCUGGGCUUUUCA